GGCCCUGCCAGUGUCUCCGCCGGUUGAAAGCGCGUGUCUGCGUCGGGUUCUGUUGGAGUGCGUUCGGUGCGCCGUGGGUCCGCGCUGCUUCCACCCAACUUCCUGUUAGGAAUCUCACCAGUGACAUGCGUUUGUGAAAAGCUGUGAAUAUUCAGUGCCACAGGGUUAAACCUCGGUACAGAAGCGAGACCCUGCUGGGCAGAGAAAGGGUGACCUGGAAGGUGUGUGAGGGCCCCACCCAUGGGCCCCUGUGAUGGUCAUGGCCUCAAGAAUCACAGUCCAGGUAAGGCCCUGAAUCUCCACAGCCAGGACCAGUUGCCUCUGCACUUGGGUGCCGAGGCCAGUGUCAGCCAGGAGAGGCCUGCAGAAUCAGCCUGUGCACCUCUCUGACGAUAAGCAGAGAUGCCGGUUUAGAGACGUGCUACUCACGGGGCAGUCCUCGGGCCUCUUGUACUCACAUUACCUGGAACUUCUUGGAAAUUCAGAAUCUCAAGCCCCAACCCAGACGAACUGAAUCAAAAUCUUCACUGUGAUAAGACCCUCGGUGACACACAGGCCUGGGAAGCACAGGUUAGCGUGUCACCUUGGGCAAAGCUCUCAGCAUUGUGAGCCUCUGUUUUCUACUCUGUAAAGGAGGCAUCAAUAUCU
rnacentral:lncRNA from 1 species